rnacentral:rRNA from 1 species
UGGGUAACCUGCCCUGGACUUUGGGAUAACCCUCGGAAACGGGGGCUAAUACCGGAUAUGACGGCUCACCGCAUGGCGUGGUUGUGGAAAGUUUUUCGGUCAGGGAUGGGCUCGCGGCCUAUCAGCUUGUUGGUGAGGUAAUGGCUCACCAAGGCGACGACGGGUAGCCGGCCUGAGAGGGUGACCGGCCACACUGGGACUGAGACACGGCCCAGACUCCUACGGGAGGCA